rnacentral:rRNA from 1 species
CCCUUAGAUGUUCUGGGCCGCACGCGCGCUACACUGAAUGGAUCAACGUGUUUUCCCUUCCCGAGAGGGACGGGUAACCCGCUGAACCCCAUUCGUGGUAGGGAUCGGAGCUUGCAAUUGUUCUCCGUGAACCAGGAAUUCCCAGUAAGCGCAAGUCAUAAGCUUGCGUUGAUUACGUCCCUGCCCUUUGUACACACCGCCCGUCGCUACUACCGAUUGAAUGGUCCGGUGAAGCCUCCGGAUUGCACAGGCCCCGUGUCUGGCGCGAGAAGUUGGCUAAACCUUACCAUUUAGAGGAAGGUGAAGUCGUAACA